UGCCCAAGAGAUCGGGAUAACACCUGGAAACAGAUGCUAAUACCGGAUAACAACAGAUGAUGCCUAUCAACUGUUUAAAAGAUGGUUCUGCUAUCACUCUUGGAUGGACCUGCGGUGCAUUAGCUAGUUGGUAGGGUAACGGCCUACCAAGGCAUGAUGCAUAGCCGAGUUGAGAGACUGAUCGGCCACAUUGGGACUGAGACACGGCCCAAACUCCUACGGGAGGCAGCAGCG
rnacentral:rRNA from 1 species